AUGUCGCUGGAGGCGCUCUGCCUCUCCUAUGCACCCCCUGCUUCCAUCUCCCUCCACCGCCGCCCUCCCUUACCCCUCCGCAGUUCUUGGCACCGCGGCUGUGGCCCCGCACUGGAUCGACGCGUCGCUAUUGCUCUGCCGCUGCGUACAGAGAGUUCAACGCCGCAACCCCCGUCCGUUCAAUCUCGCCGCCAUGGGCGUGCCCCACUCCAACUCCCUUGCCUGUGCUUCCGUGGCGAAACAGUGCAACCUGCAGGAGGAACCAUGGGAGGUCCAGGACGUCCAGCUCGGCAGUCCAACUCGGCAUGA
rnacentral:rRNA from 1 species